UGGUGAUGAUUCCAGUGGAGAAACCAUCACUGACCCUCAACAACACAAAGGCUCAAGGACCAAGAAUUCUGGGAACUAAAGCCACACACUUUACUCAGCUUCCCUGGACAAUAUGGAGGGCGCUUCUGCCUCAACCACCCUGGACAGCAAAAACAUCAGCAACACUGCACCAAGAAAGGGUAAAGGCACCCAUAUACAAAAUGUUUUAAGUGAAUAUACUUGUUAUCAAUGGACAUGUUUAUUCUUUUCAGGCAUGACACUAUUAAGAGCUUUUAUCAUAAUCCGUUUCAUCUUUUUUGAUUCCCAGCAGAACACAGCACUUCAAAUGGUUCAUCCCAAGCAUCCUUAAAGGAGCAUUAAGCAAUAUCUUUUCACUGCUAGGUGUGCUGUUGUGCACUGCCUGUAAACCAAACCAAAGUCUAUGGCUGGAGAUCAACACAGAGAGAGGGAGUGUGACUUCAUGCUGUACUCGAGAUGAAAUUACACCUCUAAUUCUUCACAUAGCCAUUUUUAUGAUGAAUUGUGCUUAUUGCUCCUUUAAAGUGCUCCAGUAGAAACUAAGGUUUAAGAACAUUUUGUAUUCACAUUAUAAACUAGAAUAUUUUCUGUUAUCUUACAUUCGCAUUAAGAUAUUUUUUUUUGUUUCCAUUUAUGACAGCUGGGAAGGCGAGGUGCAAGUGGACAAAUGAUAAAGUCAAGGCUGUUGAGCAGCACUUGCUUCAUUUUAUAACAAGCUGCAAAGUACCUGGCAAAAAGGAAUGUGACUCCUGCAUCCAAGCAGAGCCGGCAGCUCUGAAAGGCAGAGACUGGGUUGCCGUAAAGUAUUACAUCCACAACAGGAUCAUAACAUUGAAACGAAAGAUGAAUAAAUAAAAUUAUAAAAUCCAGGUUCAGGAAUGCUGCAUCAGUUAAAAUUAACUUUAUUUUCAUUUUUUUACAUUUUUGACUUAGUCAUUAGUAACCCAACAGACAAAGUUACUCAGUCCUUUCUCCUGGUUUUUGCCAUCAUAAGUUCAUACUGUUUUCAGUUUAAACAAGCAAGGGAGAUAGUUUGUUACUCUCACAGUUAUUUCAGUGUUGCAGGUCUCUGCAUUGCGUUGUUCUUACUCAUAAAUCUGUUUAUUAUGGGUGCAUUUUGUAAUUAAAAAAUAAGAAAGGCAGAUAAUGUUCCAUGUUUUUAUUCACAUAAAAAUUCACUGCAAAAUGAAUUAAUGCAAUACAAUAUUAAGACUUAAAAAGUAGACUGACCACAUUUGAGCUUUGUCUCUUUUUAAGUCUCUAUACAGCUCAGAUUUACUGUGUUGUAUUAACACAUGAAUGUCUGAUAUUUCUGUCAGAAGUUACCCGACUGGUCAUCGUUACUAUUGUACAUCUAUGCCUAUUAUAUUGUAAUUUCAAAAACCUGUAACAAGAGCCAAGCUGAAAAUACAGACGUUAGCCUUACCUGGUCCUUAUAAGUCAUGUAUACUUGAAAAUUGUGUGUGUAUCCAUGGGCUUUCACAAUUCACCUAAACAUGAAAUAUCAGUGUGUGACCUUAUGGUACUCAUAAGUCACAUAAACCUGACAGUGUCCUCACAAGUAGCAUUAAAUUCAGGUUUGACGAAAAUCUCAACAGAUGGGCGUGUUCCUGGAAGCAUGGGUCAAACUUUGUGAUUCCCAUGCCUCUAGGACCUUCGGAAAGGCACGUUCCCAUUUGUCACAUUUUUGUCAUAGGUACUGAUAUGUCACGAAAACGUACGUGUAAGUACACACACACACACAC